UUAAAUCUUCAGAUAUUAACUUUUCUGAGAAGGGACAAAUAGAAAAGAGAAACGAACAUAAAAACAAAAAUAAACCACAAAAUAAACACUCUCAUAACAUCGCACGCAACACGCACGCAAUUUUCCACACAUACGUACGCUUAUGAAGGACAAACCUACCCUUAAGUAGCGUCAUAGGUCUUUCCCCCUCCCCUCUUUCCCCUGUCUCCCUCUCCAUCCCUCUCUGUCUCUCUUUUUCCCUCGCCUCCUGUCCUUAUUCGAGGCUCGCCGGAGUGCCAGUCUUGCCUCAGAGGCCGUCGUGAAAGGGUCUCUCCGCUGCACCUCUGCUCUCGUAGUCACUGAUACCCUUAAUCAAGCCCCGUGUUGGUGUAGUGAAAGGAAAACAAUACUUAGCCAGUGAGAGACGAAAGUUGUAAUGAUGAUAAUGAUAGUUAAGUGAAGAACGCACCGCCACCACCACCACCAUCACCACCACCACCAGUAAGAGAUGUCAACCAGAAUAAAGCUUCCUCCUGAAUACCCCACCCUCUCCUUCUCCGUCAGCGCCUUCAGGAGGGCUUAGUGGGUCUUGUUGGUGGCGCUGGUGAUGCUCCCAUGCCUCUGAGCUCCCACCUGUGUUGUGAAGGCUUCCGCUCACCUGCCUGCUAGUCGGCAUCAGGUGCGUAAGGUGUGUGGACGUCUCUUCGUCAGUGUCUUCGUCAGUAUACAUCGUCAGCGCCUUCUUCAGUACCUUCUUCUGUGACUUCCUCCCUAUCAUCACCAGCGUUUUCUUCAGUACACCGUCAGCGCUUUUUUCAGUAUCUCCUUCAGCACA